rnacentral:rRNA from 1 species
UACGAAGGGGGGCUAGCGUUGCUCGGAAUUACUGGGCGUAAAGGGAGCGUAGGCGGACAUUUAAGUCAGAGGUGAAAUCCCGGAGCUUAACUUCGGAACUGCCUUUGAUACUGGGUGUCUUGAGUGUGAGAGAGGUAUGUGGAACUUCGAGUGUAGAGGUGAAAUUCGUAGAUAUUGGGAAGAACACCGGUGGCGAAGGCGGCUCUCUGGACCGGAUCUGACGCUGAGGCACGAAAGCGUGGGGAGCAAACAGG